UUUAACUAUGAAUUUUGUAGUUUUUCCAUUUUGGUUUUGGUUUUAGUUUAUCUGGUAUGAUUAGAUGAUGAAUUUUAGAAUUUCCAUUCUAUUCCCCUACUAUGAACUUUCUUGAAGAUGUAGAUACAUUGAGGCACAAUGGAGGAAAAUAAUAGAAAACUGUUUUCGUUUCUCUUUUCACUUGUCUUCUUUUGAUGUUUAGGUUUUGUGUGGGUGUUCGGUUAGAUGUUGAAAAUGAGAAUUACAAGCAAAUGAAGGAAAACAAAUUAUUAAAAGUUUCCUUUUUUAUCCCAUUAACUCAGUUUUUUCCUUUUCUUUUUCUACAUUGAGUGCAAUUUUCAUAGAUGAGGUGGUGUUUAGAAACAUAAACAUAGACAUAAUUAAGUUCCUUUCUGAUUCCGACAUCAUUCCUUGCCGAAGCUCUAGUGUUCAUUCAGCUCCUCUACCUGCUCCUGUUCAAGGAGGUGGAUCGAUUCUUGGAGGAAUUGGUUCCACCAUUGCUCAAGGCCAUCGACACAGUUAUGGGUCCCCAUACCAUUUAGCUUGAGACGGCUUCAUCUGAAGCUGCUGCAGCUGCCCCAAUGAACACUAUGGGUGUUGAUUCUUGCAACAUCCAUUCAAAGGCAUUCCAAGAUUGCAUCAACUACUUUGGAAGCGACCUCAGCAAGUGCUAUCAUGCCUGUCAUGUAAAUUUUGUUCAUUGUUUUUAAGCAAUAUUUGUAAACAAUAUUUUGUUGAAAUUUUACAAAGUGUAUAAUUUAUUUUAUAUGUUCUUUAAAAGAUUGAACAAAUUUGUAGAUAAACUUUUGUUUUGAUUAUUUUUGAAUUUUCAAUAAAAUUUUUAUUAUUUUUUAUA